rnacentral:tRNA from 13 species
UGAUCCGGACGUGAUUUGAACACUCAGCCUUCUGAUCUGGAGUCAGACGCGCUACCGUUGCGCCACCAAGUC